rnacentral:rRNA from 1 species
UACAGAGGUCCCAAGCGUUGUUCGGAUUCAUUGGGCGUAAAGGGCUCGUAGGCGGUCUGUCACGUCGGGAGUGAAAACUCGGGGCUUAACCCCGAGCCUGCUUCCGAUACGGGCAGACUAGAGGUAUGCAGGGGAGAACGGAAUUCCUGGUGUAGCGGUGAAAUGCGCAGAUAUCAGGAGGAACACCGGUGGCGAAGGCGGUUCUCUGGGCAUUACCUGACGCUGAGGAGCGAAAGUGUGGGGAGCGAACAGG